rnacentral:rRNA from 1 species
GACGAACGCUGGCGGCGUGCCUAAUACAUGCAAGUAGAACGCACAGUUUAUACCGUAGCUUGCUACACCAUAGACUGUGAGUUGCGAACGGGUGAGUAACGCGUAGGUAACCUGCCUGGUAGCGGGGGAUAACUAUUGGAAACGAUAGCUAAUACCGCAUAAUAUUAAUUAUUGCAUGAUAAUUAAUUGAAAGGUGCAAUUGCACCACUACCAGAUGGACCUGCGUUGUAUUAGCUAGUAGGUGAGGUAACGGCUCACCUAGGCGACGAUACAUAGCCGACCUGAGAGGGUGAUCGGCCACACUGGGACUGAGACACGGCCCAGACUCCUACGGGAGGCAGCAGUAGGGAAUCCUCGGCAAUGGACGAAAGUCUGACCGAGCAACGCCGCGUGAGUGAAGAAGGGUUUCGGAUCGUAAAGCUCUGUUGUAAGAGAAGAACGGGUGUGAGAGUGGAAAGUUCACACUGUGACGGUAGCUUACCAGAAAGGGACGGCUAACUACGUG